rnacentral:rRNA from 1 species
GGACGAACGCUGGCGGCGUGCUUAACCCAUGCAAGUCGAACGGUGAAGCGCCUUCCUUUUUGGUGGGUGUGGAUGAGUGGCGAACGGGUGAGUAACACGUGAGUAACCUGCCCCCUUCUUCUGGAUAACCGCAUGAAAGUGUGGCUAAUACGGGAUAUUCUGGGUCUGUCGCAUGAUGGGUCUGGGAAAGAUAUUGUUUCGGUGGGGGAUGGGCUCGCGGCCUAUCAGCUUGUUGGUGGGGUGAUGGCCUACCAAGGCGGUGACGGGUAGCCGGCCUGAGAGGGUGGACGGUCACACUGGGACUGAGACACGGCCCAGACUCCUACGGGAGGCAGCAGUGGGGAAUAUUGCACAAUGGGCGCAAGCCUGAUGCAGCGACGCCGCGUGAGGGAUGGAGGCCUUCGGGUUGUGAACCUCUUUCGCCAGUGAAGCAGGCCUGCCUCGUUUGUGGGUGGGUUGACGGUAGCUGGAUAAGAAGCGCCGGCUAACUACGUG